rnacentral:rRNA from 1 species
ACUCCCACGGGACGCAGCAGUGGGGAAUAUUGGGCAAUGGGCGCAAGCCUGACCCAGCAACGCCGCGUGAAGGAAGAAGGCUUUCGGGUUGUAAACUUCUUUUAUCAGGGACGAAGCAAGUGACGGUACCUGAUGAAUAAGCCACGGCUAACUACGUGCCAGCAGCCGCGGUAAUACGUAGGUGGCAAGCGUUAUCCGGAUUUACUGGGUGUAAAGGGCGUGUAGGCGGGAGUGCAAGGCAGAUGUGAAAACUAUGGGCUCAACCCAUAGCCUGCAUUUGAAACUGUACUUCU